rnacentral:rRNA from 1 species
GGAGAGUUUGAUCCUGGCUCAGGAUGAACGCUGGCGGCGUGCCUAAUACAUGCAAGUCGAGCGAACGGACGAGAAGCUUGCUUCUCUGAUGUUAGCGGCGGACGGGUGAGUAACACGUGGAUAACCUACCUAUAAGACUGGGAUAACUUCGGGAAACCGGAGCUAAUACCGGAUAAUAUUUUGAACCGCAUGGUUCAAAAGUAAAAGACGGUCUUGCUGUCACUUAUAGAUGGAUCCGCGCUGCAUUAGCUAGUUGGUAAGGUAACGGCUUACCAAGGCAACGAUGCAUAGCCGACCUGAGAGGGUGAUCGGCCACACUGGAACUGAGACACGGUCCAGACUCCUACGGGAGGCAGCAGUAGGGAAUCUUCCGCAAUGGGCGAAAGCCUGACGGAGCAACGCCGCGUGAGUGAUGAAGGUCUUCGGAUCGUAAAACUCUGUUAUUAGGGAAGAACAUAUGUGUAAGUAACUGUGCACAUCUUGACGGUACCUAAUCAGAAAGCCACGGCUAACUACGUGCCAGCAGCCGCGGUAAUACGUAGGUGGCAAGCGUUAUCCGGAAUUAUUGGGCGUAAAGCGCGCGUAGGCGGUUUUUUAAGUCUGAUGUGAAAGCCCACGGCUCAACCGUGGAGGGUCAUUGGAAACUGGAAAACUUGAGUGCAGAAGAGGAAAGUGGAAUUCCAUGUGUAGCGGUGAAAUGCGCAGAGAUAUGGAGGAACACCAGUGGCGAAGGCGACUUUCUGGUCUGUAACUGACGCUGAUGUGCGAAAGCGUGGGGAUCAAACAGGAUUAGAUACCCUGGUAGUCCACGCCGUAAACGAUGAGUGCUAAGUGUUAGGGGGUUUCCGCCCCUUAGUGCUGCAGCUAACGCAUUAAGCACUCCGCCUGGGGAGUACGACCGCAAGGUUGAAACUCAAAGGAAUUGACGGGGACCCGCACAAGCGGUGGAGCAUGUGGUUUAAUUCGAAGCAACGCGAAGAACCUUACCAAAUCUUGACAUCCUUUGACAACUCUAGAGAUAGAGCUUUCCCCUUCGGGGGACAAAGUGACAGGUGGUGCAUGGUUGUCGUCAGCUCGUGUCGUGAGAUGUUGGGUUAAGUCCCGCAACGAGCGCAACCCUUAAGCUUAGUUGCCAUCAUUAAGUUGGGCACUCUAAGUUGACUGCCGGUGACAAACCGGAGGAAGGUGGGGAUGACGUCAAAUCAUCAUGCCCCUUAUGAUUUGGGCUACACACGUGCUACAAUGGACAAUACAAAGGGCAGCGAAACCGCGAGGUCAAGCAAAUCCCAUAAAGUUGUUCUCAGUUCGGAUUGUAGUCUGCAACUCGACUACAUGAAGCUGGAAUCGCUAGUAAUCGUAGAUCAGCAUGCUACGGUGAAUACGUUCCCGGGUCUUGUACACACCGCCCGUCACACCACGAGAGUUUGUAACACCCGAAGCCGGUGGAGUAACCUUUUAGGAGCUAGCCGUCGAAGGUGGGACAAAUGAUUGGGGUGAAGUCGUAACAAGGUAGCCGUAUCGGAAGGUGCGGCUGGAUCACCUCCUUUCUAA